rnacentral:rRNA from 1 species
GUAGUCUGCAACUCGACUACAUGAAGCUGGAAUCGCUAGUAAUCGCGGAUCAGAAUGCCGCGGUGAAUACGUUCCCGGGUCUUGUACACACCGCCCGUCACACCAUGGGAGUCAGUAACGCCCGAAGUCAGUGACCCAACCGUAAAGGAGGGAGCUGCCGAAGGCGGGACGGAUAACUGGGGUGAAGUCGUAACAAGGUAGC